rnacentral:rRNA from 1 species
UAGGGAAUCUUCCGCAAUGGGCGAAAGCCUGACGGAGCAACGCCGCGUGAGUGAUGAAGGUCUUCGGAUCGUAAAACUCUGUUAUUAGGGAAGAACAAAUGUGUAAGUAACUAUGCACGUCUUGACGGUACCUAAUCAGAAAGCCACGGCUAACUACGUGCCAGCAGCCGCGGUAAUACGUAGGUGGCAAGCGUUAUCCGGAAUUAUUGGGCGUAAAGCGCGCGUAGGCGGUUUUUUAAGUCUGAUGUGAAAGCCCAGGGCUCAACCGUGGAGGGUCAUUGGAAACUGGAAAACUUGAGUGCAGAAGAGGAAAGUGGAAUUCCAUGUGUAGCGGUGAAAUGCGCAGAGAUAUGGAGGAACACCAGUGGCGAAGGCGACUUUCUGGUCUGUAACUGACGCUGAUGUGCGAAAGCGUGGGGAUCAAACAGG